UCCUCUGCAGGUGGGGACCAGGGGCUUGAACCCUUGUUCUCACACACUGUAAUGUGCACACUUGCCGAGUGCACCACUGCUUGGCCCCUCUUUCUUUCUCCCUCUUUCUCUUUCUUUUUUCUAUUUUAAUUUUUAUUUAUUUAUUAAGAAGAUAGGCAGAGAGAGAGACAACCAGACAUCACUCUGGUACAUGUGCUGCCGGGGAUUGAACUCAGGACCUCUAGCUUAAGAGUCCAGUGCUUUAUUCAUUGCACCACCUCCUGGACCAGAGGAAAUUUAUCCUAAUAUCCCAGGAUAAGUAACCUUGUCUUCCUCCUAAUGCAUUGUGUCUGGGUGUUUAUCGCCUUACUGACUCAGGGUUGUUGAUCCUGAAGCCGUUCCUGUGUCCCCAGCCAGGUUCUAAUUCACUUCCUGCACCCAGGCCUGAAGGUUCUGUAACCUAUGAAGGAAGCAGAACAGGACACACCUCCCUCCCUCUCCUGUUAUGGCCCAAGGCAGGCCACCACAGAGAGCACAAGGAGGCCCCAUUUCUCUGGGGUUAGCGGGCACUGUCACUUCAUUCAUUCCUCCCCGUUGUCUCUUAGCAGAGCCCUGCAGACUGUCUCCUUUUUGACACCAUAAAAGAAAUUCCAGAGUGCCCUUCUGCUUUAAAGCACCGGAUCUUGUGGUGCUAUUACAGUGUGGCAGGGCUUAAUUUCCUUCUGACUCUGUCGUCCCUGUUUCUGAGAGAACUGGCCAGAGAGACUGCAGAGUGUCACACUCUCUCUGCAGGAGGGAGGGGUCCCUGGGGUAGAGUGUCAGCAGCUUCAGUAUGGCUUUCUAACAUCUUUGUUACCUUUUUUAAAAGAUUUUAUUUAUUUAUUAAUGAGAAACAUAGGAGGAGAGAGAGAAAGAACCAGGCAUCACCCUGGUACAUGUGCUGCCGGGGAUUGAACUCAGGACUUUAUGCUUGAGAGUCAGAUGCUUUAUCCACUGUGCCACCUCCUGGACCACUUAUUUAUUUAAAUAUUUAUUUAUUUAUUUUCCCUUUUUGUUGCCCUUGUUGUUGUUUUUUGUUGUAGUUAGUAUUUUUGUCGUUGUUGCUGCAUAGGACAGAGAAAAAUGGAGAGAGGAGGGGAAGACAGAGAGGGGGAGAGAAAGACAGACACCUGCAGACCUGCCUCACCGCCUGUGAAGCGACUCCCCUGCAGGUGGGGAGCCAGGGGCUUGAACCGGAAUCCUUCACUAGUCCUUGUGCUUCGUGCUACGUGCGCUUAACCCGCUGCGCUACCGCCAAACUCCCUAUUUUUUUUUUUAAAGAAAUGUUACCACACUGGGGCCGAGUGGUGGUGCACCUGGUUGAGCGCAUGUGUUACAGUACGCAAGGACCCAGGUUCGAGCCCCUGGUCCCCCACCUGCAAGCAGAAAGCUUUGCGAGUGGUGAAGCAAGGCUGUAAGUGUCUCUCUGUCUCUCUCCCUUCCUGUCACCCCCUUACCUCUCAAUUUCUGGCUGUCUCUAUCCAAUAAAUAAAUGAAGAUUUUAAAAAAAAGAAAGAAAUGUUACCACAAUAUAUGUCUUUUUUAUGAAUUUAUUUAUUUAUUCAUGAGAAAGAUAGGAGAGGGGCUGGGUGGUAGCACAGCAGGCUAAGCACACUAGUGUGAAGCACAAGGACCAGCCUAAGGAUUCUCAGAGCCCUGGACUUCCCACUUUCAGGGGGGUCACUUCACAAGCUGUGAAGCAGGCCUGCAGGUGUCUGUGUUUCCCUCUGUCUACCCCUCCUCUCUUGAUUCUCUCUGUCCUCUCCAACAACAAUGGUAACAAAAUUGAAAAAAACGGCCUCAGGAGCAGUGGAUUCAUAGUGCAGGCACCGAGCCUCACUGAUAACUCUGGAGGCCAAAAAAAAAAAAGAAAAAGAAAAAGAAAAAGAAAAAGAAGUGGUCUGGGAGAUGGUGUAGUCCAUAAAGCACUGGACUCUUGAUCAUGAGGUCCUGAGUUCAAUCCCCAGCAGCACAUGUACCAGAGUGAUGUCUGGUUUUUCUCUCUCUCCUCCUAUCUUUCUCAUAAAUGAGUGAAUAAAAUAAAAUAUUAAGAAAAAAAAGAAAAGAAAGGAGAGAGAGAAAGAAUCAAACAUCACUCUGGUACGUGGGCUGCUGGGAAUUGAAUUCGAGACCUCAUGGUUGAGAAUUCAAUGCUUUAUCCACUGCACCACGUCCUGGGCCACUCUUUGUUACCUUCUCAUUAAAGAACCUGCAAAAGAGAAGGAGCCAUCCCACAGCUUAAUGGAGGAAGAGACUUCCUCAGCAAAAUGAAUCUAAACCCUGACAAAGCACAUAGCACUUCCCUCCCCGUUGUCCCUGUGCAAGCUACACCUGAAAAAAGGACACCUGUUAUUAGCACUCGCCCCAAGUUGACAGUCAUGAAGUGGGGAGGGGGGCCGGGGUCUUGCCCACCUGCCCUAACAGCCCUCCUCCUACCCCCUGUCCUGAUGAAGGUGCCCCCUGCCUCUCCUCAGGGUAAUACCCAGUGGCUUCUGACCUGUCUGCUCUGCCCUCUCAGGCACUUGACAGGAGGGGGUGGUGGCAGGGAGAGCUCAGGACGCAGACCAUGUGGCUCUCCGCAUAGAAGAUUGGUAAUUCUGCAGACAGAGACACAGGUUGCUGGGGACUAUGGAACCAAAGGCUAAUGGUGACAGCCGGCAUCUCUGGCCUGGCCUGGCCACACAGGCUCACCACUGCAGAUGCGGGGGUGGCCUUUCCCACCUCCCAGUGUGGACCUUAGGCCCUCGCCCUCCUGGCUGAGUCUACCUGCUGGAAGGAAGCUGUGUCCUGCUCUGGCCUUGCUUGACCCUAGCUCCUGCAGGAGCACAACCUACCCCCAGGCUUUGUCCCCUGGUCCCUGGCUCUGGGCCAGAGGUGGCUGGCUCCCUGGCUCCACUUAAGUGCCAAGAUUCUGACCUCAGAGGAGGUUUGGGGCUUUGAUUCUCAAAGGGACACACAGAUUGUUUCAAAGGGAGACAAGCAGCUUGCAGAGUGGAAAGUGAGCCAUGCCCAGGGCAGCUGAGAACGGGAGGCCCAGCCAAGCACCACCUCCUGGACCACCCUGGACAAGUCAUCCUAACAAGUCCACAGGAAGAGCAGCUGUGACUGCUGAUUCGGAUCUCAGAUCACUCCAUGACUGGGAUAACGCACCUGGCUACCCUGGCCUGCAGCUUUAUUGACUGAACACAUGGUUUGAGAGGCAGCCAUGUUCCUCUCCCACAGCCCAUAACCAGCCUGUUGUUGCUGAGUGUUGCAGUGUCUCUAGGCUUUUAUUACAGGCAGAGUGAUGAACAUGUCCCUGUCCUGGGUAGGAAGGCACUCUCAUGUUCUUUGGGGAAUUACGUGUGUGUGUGUGGAGGGGAGGGGGGGGGGGAUGCUGGGUGUAAUGGAAAAUACAUUUGUUUUGUUUUCCCAGAGUCCUGCUCAGCUCUGGCUUAGGGAUAUUGAACCUGGGACCUUGGAGCCUCAGGCAUGAAAGUCUCUUUGCAUCACCAUUAUGCUAUCUAAACCCCCCUCCCUGGAAGUAUACGUUUGAUUUGAUUUCAUUUUUUUUUUCAGAUAGAGGCAGAGAGAGUAAGAGACCCCAGCAGCGACGCUUCCCUCAGUACAGUGGGGGCUGGAACCUGGGUCACGCACAUGGCAAAGCAGCUCAGUAACCAAGUCAGCUACUCGACCAGCCCAAUAUGUCUAGUUAAAAAAAAAAAAAGGAGUCGGGCAGUACCACAGUGGGUUAAGCACACGUGGUACAAAGUGCAAGGACUGGCAUAAGGGUCCCAGUUUGAGCCCCCGGCUCCCUGCCUGCAGGGGAGUCGCUUCAUAGGUUGUGAAACAGGUCUGCAGGUGUCUGUCUUUCUCUCCCCCUCUCUGUCUUCCCCUCCUCUCUCCAUUUCUCUGUCCUAACAAUGAUGACAUCAAUUACAACAUCAAUAAUAACUACAACAAUAAUAAGAAAACAAGGGCAACAAAAGGGGAAAUAAAUAAAUAUAUUAAAAAAUUAAUUUUCAAAAAAAAAAAAAAAGAAAAACUGAGGGGGUGGUUGGGCGGUAAGUGCACAUGGCACAAAGCACAAGGACUGAAGUAAGGAUCCUAGUCAAGUCCCUGGCUCCCCACCUGUGUGUGUAUGUGUGUGGGAGGUCACUUCACAAGCAGUGAAGCGGGUCUGCAGGUGUCUAUCUUUCUCUCCCCCUCUCUGUCUUCCCCUCCUCUCUCCAUUUCUCUCUGUCCUAUUCAACAACAACAGUGGCAACAAUAAUGAUAACGACAACAAAAGUGGAAAAAAUGGCCUCCAGGAGCAGUGGAUUCACGGUGCAGGCACUGAGCCCCAGCAAUAACCCUGGAGGAAAAAAAGAAAGAAGGAAAGCAACUACCGAACAGUUUCCAAAAAUGGGUGUACCCGUGUGUGUGUGUGUGUACCCGUGUGUGUACCCAUGUGUGUGUACCCGUGUGUCUGUGUGUGUCUGUGUGUGUGUGUGUACCCGUGUGUGUGUACCCGUGUGUGUGUACCCGUGUGUGUGUCUGUGUGUGUACCCGUGUGUGUGUCUGUGUGUGUACCCGUGUGUGUUUGUAUCCGUGUGUGUGUGUACCCGUGUGUGUCUCUCUGUGUGUGUACCCAUGUGUGUGUACUCGUGUGUGUGUACUCGUGUGUGUGUACCCAUGUGUGUGUGUGUACUCGUGUCUGUGUGUGUGUACCCGUAUGUGUGUCUGUGUGUGUGUACCCGUGUGUGUGUCUCUGUGUGUGUGUGUACCAGUGUGUGUGUGUGUACACGUGUGUGUGUACCCGUGUGUGUGUCUCUGUGUGUACCAGUGUGUGUGUGUACCCGUGUGUGUGUGUACCCGUGUGUUUGUACCCAUGUGUGUGUGUACCCGUGUGUGUGUGUACCCGUGUGUGUGUACCCGUGUGUGUGUGUGUGUGCGUGUGUGUGUGUUUCCCUAGCUCCCUUCCCGGCUCACUUCCAGGCCAGCCCUGGCCCAUGAGGUGGGCUCCCAGCUCAGGACAGAGCCCACCUGGAUAGUCAAAGCAGCUCUCCUCCAGAACACGUUCCUUUCUCACCAAGGAAAAACAUGCAUUUCCAACUAGAAUGAUACAAAAAAGAAAAGAAAAGGUCCAGGAUGACAGGCAGUACAAAUACUCCAUAAACCCUUCACUUCCAAAGGCAAGGAUUAAGACAAAAACACUGUGAUUACGUCUGUCUUUUGUUCCCAUAUGCUGGCUCUGGGGAUAAGACUCCUUAUUGUGGAACUGUUUGUAAGAAAAUGUAUUUGUUGACACUCUUUCCCUUUAUUUUACAAUAAAAGCACAGAGCCAGUUUC